UGUAAUUUAAAAACCCUACAUUCUUUCACUUAAACAGCUCAAAAUUUGGACAAAACGUACCCUGUUGGUAUUGCCCAAUCCACAAAGACUUUUCCUGGAUAAUAGGUGGCAGUUGUCUCAGGGUUUGCCCAAUACAGGCUCUAGAUUGUUAAAUUCUUUGUGUACUGUUAAAACAAAUCACCAAUUAUACAGUGAGCAAGAAGAAAAGAAUGUUUGCUUUCCUAGGUCAGUCUCGGUUUCUUGGUGUCAUACUCUCCCAGUCGACACCAGUUUGUUCAAAUGACUUAAUUCACGUGGUUUGGUUUUCUUCCAGGAUGCUUUUGCUCUUUCUACAUAAGUUUCCCUCUUCAGAUGCGCUUAGUUUUGUACUUAAAGUAGUAGAAGGUGAAGUUGUUACACACUGAAAAAUGGCAGGCUUCAAGCAUUGCACACCUAAAGUAAUCUUGAACAGAUAAAUGCAAAGAAUAUGAAGCAAUAACAUACUCUCUUGUGUAACUUGCCAAGCUAAAGUUUAUUAUCUUCAAUAGCUGUUGACCUCCUGGCAUAGUCAGAUGUUUUCAGACCACAUUUAGCUCUGUAUUUCCCACACAGAUAGUAAAAUUCUUGAUGAAACUUGUGUAGGUUACACCUUUGAAGUCCUCGUGGUGUUGGUAUUACAGUUAAUUAUGCUUCUCUCUAUGAAAAAAUCCUCAUUACUCUUAGUUUUUACUUAUUUACCACAACUUUCAGAAAAAUCUGGACCUACAACUUCACUACUCUUUGCUACUCUAUUGCCUGCACCCAUCUGUGUUUCUGGAAUAGGAAAUAUGGAAUAAGAGAGGAAAAAUAAAACCUCCUCAGCAUCAGGGAACUAUUCAUGUGGUUUAUUCACUUGUGAAACUACAGCCAGAGUCCUGUGAUAUCUGCUAGGUGUGGGGAGAGCACAGCUACAGUGGGUUAGACAGGGCUCCUUGUAGAUGGCAGUAGUAAUGACUGCUGUCUUCAGAGCACUUGUGAUGGUUCCCAAACUCACAAAUGGCUCACAGGAGCAAUGAGAAAAGCUCCUAAGAAAGGAGCCUUUUUUGCUUGAAAAGACUCAGUUAUAGCUCUUCACUGGCAGGACAAACAGCGCUUUGGAAGGGGUAGGUGAUUCAGUGCUUGCUGCUUGCAGCUGAAGCCAUGCCAUUGACUAGGGGAGAAUUCAGGAUUCAGUUAUUUGGAUGCUCACAGAGAAGGGGGAAGCUUUGGCUUCCAUCUCCAUGGCAAGCAUUAGCUCUGUAUUUUAUCAGGUUGUUUUGAAUAGUCUUUAUGUGGAUCAGAAAUUAGGUCUCAUUCCUCCCUCCUACUUGAGAGCCAUAAUCAAUAGCUUAGAGAACCAUGGCUGCUUUUCUCUUCUUUCUCAGAUAGUUAUCUGGGCCUUCAAAGGAGAACAAAAUAAUGACAGAAUACCCAUCGUGUUGCAUAAGCUGGGGGAUUGUCAGUGUCUCAGAUACACAGUAAGAUUGCACGGUGAGUUGUGAGAUGGCAGUGAUACCCCUUCACAUUUAGUAUGUGAAAUACCCCAGGUUUUUGUGUGUGGCUUGUAACUAAGGAGAUGGGCUGGGUGCGGUGAUGAGUCAAGGGCAGCCCAUGCUGCUCCACGCAGUCCCAGCACUUGAGUCAGUGAUAAGUGUGUGCAUGGCAUUCCUUAAAAAGGUGAACAAUUCCAGCUCACCGCCCUGAAGUGCUGGAACACAGAGUUGGAAGGUUGUUCAGCUUCUUUGCAAAGCCACCUGUAGUGCCAACUAAUUGUGUAACGGGCUGAAAUGAGUCUGGAGCUCAUUGAUGAGUGUGUCAGCAAUUGCAAUAAUCUUAUCAGUUACUGUAGUAACAGCACUGUAGUAACAGCAACGUUUCCAUUGCAGUGUAAGAGACAGCAGUCAGUGUUUAAACUCCAGAUUCAUAUUGCUACGUGAAUGUAGUGUUGAUUACACGUUGGAGAGUGAGGAACACAUAAACUAGUUUUCUCAAACUUAUCUAUCUCCUUGAAUGUUUUACGGGUUCUCAGUUACCUGUCAAUGCAUGUUUGCAAUGUCUAUUGCUGUGGUGGUUUAAGGGUAAAGGCAGAUUUAAAAGUCUAUAUGAUAUUGUAAUAAUGAGUUGCCACCUUUUGAUGCAGGGCUGGCUUCUUUGAUGAGUAGAUUUUUUUGGUGAGCAAAGAGUAUAGGCACUGAUAUUUCAGGGGAAAAGGGACUCUUCCUGAUCAGACGUGGUCAGAAGCGUACAACAUGUACCCUCUCCCAUAUUCAGAUACUGAGACAAAAUAUUAUACAUUUUGUGUCUUAAUAGUCCCAUUAAGUCCGAUAAAUCCUGUGAUCUGUAGCAGAACAACUGCAAAAGAUGGGAGCUAGAAGCUAUUUACGUCAGAUAUUAGUGUUGUAUCAGCAUGAGCAAGUAUUUCUGUAUCUUUGACUCAUACCAGAGUCCAGAUAGCGUGUGACAAAGCCACUGACAUCAGUAACACCACUAUCAGGGGAAGCCUCCUCACUUCAACAGUUCAAUUAACUGGCUUCUGCAAUGGGUGGAAUCUCAUUAUUAAUCAUCUUCUAUACCACAAAACAUGGUACUUGAAAUUUGCUAGUUCAUAGUUUGCUCUGGUGCUGUAGAGAAAGCAGAAGUGUGCAGUCUUGCUGAAAGAAAUGGUUACAGACUGAAAAUCACAUUUUCAAGUCGCUAUGGAUACAGAUAUUUCCUAGUCAAGACCCUUUAAAAAGCUAAGGAAAGGGGGCUCAUUCACAAACAGUAGGAUUUUAAGAUUUUGCAGCUAUUUGUGUUCUACUUUCUCCCCACGAGUACUAAACACUGCUUUCAGCUUGUGCAUUGCCACUGGCUCCGGUCACUGAAGUGGGUGCAUCGCUGAGCACCUGAGCUGUGUUCCUCCUCAGUCUGAAAGUGCUAUGUUAUCACCUCACAGUUUUAAUCUUUAGAGCACUUGACAGGUCCUCCCACUGCCAGGACAAAUGCUAUCACUGUCAUGGCCAAAUAACCUAAAUGUGAGGAAACAGAUACUGAAGUUAAUCAACUUUACAAACAUGACAGGAGCAUUUAGAGACCCCAGUUCAACAGAUACUUAAAUAGAUGUUUAAAUUCCUUUCUUUUAAACAAAUAAUGUAAAUACCUGUGAAAUACCCCUGCUAAGCUUGCUCUUGGAGGCUUUAGGCUUUCUGAUUGCUGGGGUGGUGCUUUGAUCACCUCCUGUUACAAGUACUUUCUAUAGAAAAGCUCUCCUGUUGUUCAGUCCUUUCCAUAAGCUACAUUUAAACACCCAAAUUAUUAAUACAUACAAGCAGUUGUCAUGGAGACAGUAUUAUCCAAAGUGGGGUUUUCUUAAUAAGCGGCACAAAGUUGGCACAUCCCACAUGCCUUGUACAGACAAUUCCUGCGGAAUGUUUCCUGCGUUACACAUGGGAUAGAUCCGUUUCUUUGCUUUUCAUGCCAGCAUGCUCUGGAGAAACCACUCUUUCUGGCUUUCAGAUGGCUGGCUUUAGGAAUGUGAAAAAUGUAGGAGCUGUAAGAGGUGUUGGGUUUAGUUCAGGUCAUAAGAUCUUAGCAAGGGGCCAUACAGCUCAUUUCUGUGAGCCCUCAAACACAACGUGACAGCUGAAUUAGGGCUGAAACCACUGUGGGAUAUAUUUUCUCUCCUCAUCUUGGUGCGUACACUUACAGCAAAAUGCAGUAACUAAUCCAAAAGCAGGCAGUUGGCUGAUGUAGCUGGGGAGGCUGCAGGGCUGUGAUGAUGGUUGUUUUCGCUGGAACAAAACUGCAAUCGUAUUAAAUGCCUAUAAAUCCAAGAGGACCUGGUGCUGUACCUGCAGACUUAAGGGUAUUAAACCUGAACUCUCUGAGAUGUUUUGCCCAUACUUGUCAUAAUACUUCUGCUUUUUAACUGUGCCCUUGCAAAGUAGCACACAGCACAGUUCAUCUGAUAAGUAGGACUCUUUCUACCUUUAUUCUGUGCUUCCUUCUUUUGUCUUGUCCUGGAGAUCCUGUUACACUUAUGCCAGGCAGCACCUAACUGAUGAUGCGGACAUUCUGUAGCCUAUUUAUUUGAGUGAAUGGAUGAGAUUCUCUUUAUGUUAUAGUUACUGCUUUCUCUUUUUUUUUUCCCCCAGAUACUCUUCAGUUAAUGCUACAUCACAGUUACUGUCAUAAUGACCUUCAUCUGGGCCAGGCAACCAGAGAAUAAAGUUACAGAAAGACUGCAAAAAGGAUUGCAGCAAGAAAACAUGAGGUAGUCCUUCCUCCCUUUGCUGCCAGGUAAAUGUCUGUUUCCUUCAUAGCACCGCCAGUAUCUUGUAGAGAAGGAAGCAUGAACCCACUGGGGCUGUACCCAUGACUUUUAGAAGCAUGUUAAUACCGUACCCGUGUUGGUUUGGAGAUGUCAGUUGUCUUGUGUGACAAACAGGUCCACAAAGCCUGCUAAAGAUGGCUUGGCCAAACCACCACCAGCUCUUGAGCUGGAUUCCAAGCAGUGCUGUGUCCUGGCUGCUCCUUAAAUGCUUCCUCCAAAUAGAGAGACCAGGGAGGGAAGUUUCCUUUUGAAAUCUAUUUGUGUAUGUGCUAAAGGACAAAGGAGAUCCAUGAUCUAGUCACUGCACAGGCACACUUAUUCUUAGAUCAUGAUUUUGUUUCACUGUGGUUAACAAGUGUAUUAUUAGUAAUAGCUGGUUACAAAUAAUAACCUGGCCUUAUUUUUAACCUAAUACUGCAUUGGAUUUCAUUGCAAUAGGUGGGUUCACUGCUGUGCUUUGCUCUUUGAGUAUUAUCUUUCAGAAUUUCAGUGCCUUCCAUCUUCAGCAUUAAAAAUAGGUGUCAAGUUGAGUAAUUAUUAUCGCUCCAAAUCUCAUGUGCAGCCUUACAUAACAGUGUUCUCACCAAAAGCCUGAUUUUAAGGGUGGAGUGGAAGAACAUGCUGCGGCAACCUGAAAUUAUUUGCUCUACUGUAGCAGGGUUAUACAGAGCCCAGAUAGAACUGUUUCUUCUGAGGAAGCACUGAGAGCCAGUCUAAUAUUAAUGAAAAUAAUAAUGUGUGGAAUGCCUCAACUUUGGCAUUAUGUUGUCAGCACUCCUCAGUCCUGAGUAGAGGCCUUCUUGACAAUCCUCUGUUGCCCAAGCAGAAACUACCAUUCAUGCCAACUCAGUGACAGUCCAAAUACUUGUGAGUUUAGUAACAGCAAAUAUAUAAACAUGCAAAGUGAAAUAACAGUGGCAAAUUACUUGGAAAGAGACUAUCCCCAGCUGGACGGAGCUACCCUUGAUAAACCUGAACUUCCUCAUUAGUAACACUGUGUUCAUAGGCAAAGUGCUGUCUGUUUUUACUAGCUAAGACUGUUUACCCUUCCAACGGUGAGCUGGGUUCCUUAUGUCCAUCAUACUCAUGUCACUUUGGAAGGACAAAAAACAGUUGGGAAGAGGCAGUGGUCAAUCCUGAGAACAUCAGGUACCUUCUUUUAACUCUAACAAACUCUCAGCUCUCGUGGUGAUCACAGUAACAACAAACCCUGAUCUCUUCUAUUUGCAUAAUAUAUUUUAUUGUUUCAUCCCCUGUUUCAUUGCAUGCUGUGACCUUCUUCCUUCAUCGAUGCAUCAAAGCUGCAUCAUUCUUCCUGAUUGCCAUUCUUCUCUUCCAUCCCUUUUCCUGUGCAUAACUUCCUUUCCUCCCCCCUUUCAGCCUCAUUGAAUCAGAUUUAGCCAAAUGAUCCACAACUGCUGAUAAGCUCUGGCAAUUGCAUAUAGAGGCUUUUCUUCCUGAGGUUGUGCAUAGCAUGAAAAUAAAAACCACACUGUUAUAAAUUUGACUAAUAAAAAUCUUACAUUUGGCAAAAGUGUGAGAAAUGGCCAUGAAUGGACCUGUUAAUUUCGCUGCUAGAUGGUGAUGCCAGAACUCUUGGCAUUCUACCUGGAGCUGGGAUCUUACUGUCAGGGUCUAACUUCCUUUUUGAUGUCUACAACAUUAGUGAUGGCUGCUGAGUGUGUUCCCUGGCACAGUAAUGUUCUCCUCAUGUUAGACCUAGAAUGUGCACAGCCACUGAAUCCUACAGAUGCUGACCCUCAGCUGUUGGAGACUCAAGCCAACAGAUUCUCCAAGUUUGUAGGCUUAAAGCUGGGCUCAUGUUGUGAAUGCUGAGUUCCAGCUGUGUUAGCUGAAUCACUAACUGAAUUUCACUCACAGGCAGUAACUGCAUCUAAAAGUGUCAGUCUCUGUGUAUUCCAAGGCAUGAGCUAGUUCUAACCUUGCUGCCAUGGUACAGAGAUUUACUCUAGGUGUACGUAUCUAGCACAAACAUGACGUUAAUUUGUACACUUCACCAGUACUGGUUUUCCUCCUCAGAUUACAAACUGAAAAGAUCAAUGAAAUGAUGACUUGUUUUUGUGAGAUGAAUGGGAACUCCAUAAUUAAUGAUACCAGGUAUAUUAGCAGAGGGAAGAACUAGUUUCAGAAGACUGUCAUUAACUUGAGCAAUUGGAAUUGUUCAGUUCCAUAAUGGAUGUGUAUUUAUUACAGCACUGCAUGAGUGGAGAGGCGAUGGAGGGUCUAUUACAACAGUGGUGCACCUUAUCUGCACAGAAUGAGAGGCAGAAGUUUGCUGGCUUCACAAGGGAGCCUCUCCAGCAUGGAACGCUCUGGGACACUGCACAGCAAGUUUAAUUCUGAUUCAUGUUUUACUAUCAAAAAUCACAUGUAAAACCCUGGCUCACCUCCCUCAAAGAGUGUUUAUUUGGGAAGUGGCACCUUCCAGGCACUGAAGCUCUGAUACAAAUUGGCCUCAACAGAGUAAGUGUUAAACAUCCCAUUCUUGUGUUGUAGCUGUUCCCUGGUGAAGUCCCUCAAUGUACGUUUUCAUAAAUUGCCCUCUCUGUCCUGACUGUAGUUAUACUUCCCUUAAAAGGUAUCUAUUACAGCAGAAAAUCAAUGCUAUUCAUUCUUGUAGUAGUCCAAAAAGCUUUACUGGUAUAGCUACUGCUGCUCUAUUUUUUUGACAGUGUCCAAUUGGAGGCAAAUGUACCAAAAUAUGUCAAGACUUACUCAUGUAGAGAUAAUAUAGCAAGUGAAAGAAUUUCCACCAUAAAGUUCCAGGAGUUAAGGUGCUACUCGUUGGAUGACAAUUCCAUAAGUGGAGAGAACAAACUUUCUUAUUUUUCAUGAGACAAGAGUUUUAGUGACACAGGUUAAAACAGAAGAAGAAAACCCAACAGCAGUGACAUGACUUUUAUCAGCAGCAGUGGACACUGCUGCUGAGACUUUUUCUCCAUUGAGCCUAAAGAGCAGAGGUUUUAGAGGUCCAGCUUUCACUGUCAGUAACACCCUACAGCCACCAAGAAAGGAAAUCCAUCUGAAGCACUUCAGAGUAAUGCUUGAUGUGAUUUAUCCUCAGUUCACCCCUGUGAACACCAGCAGUCAAGGUACUGCCUGAUCUCUUCAAUCACCCUGUAGUAACUCACUACUAAUGAGUGACUGGUCAUCGUGCUGCAGAGCAUCCUCAGUCGGGCUGGUAACAGAAAACAGCAAAGGUAAUCAUCAAAUACCUGUUAAUUUCCUGUUAGGUUUUUAAUUGGAAUUUCUCUUCUCUAACAGAUCUUCUUCCAGAAAGGCAUGUUUGCAUCUUUUCCCUAAUCAUACAUGAUUGUGCAGAUUCUUUGUACGUUACCUAUGUAUACUAAUCCCAGUAGCAUGGUAUUAAUUCACAACAGUCAGUGAAUUUAGACAGGGAUAUUGCAGAAAUGUAACUAAAACAUGACUACAAUAUGACAGCUAUGCAAUUACUACCCUUUUUUUCCCUUCAGAUACUGACCAGGCCAAAAUCACUAUACGGGGUUCAGUUUGUAAGGCCAAGCUUGUGGUUUCACAUCCUGGAUGAAGCAGCCACCCUUUUCCUUGUGCCCUCCUCACUCUUCCCUUCCCAGGCUACUGUCUCAGUGAUGCCACUGCAUCUUAGUGAGGCUGUUGCGCAGGAAAAUGAUCCAAGUUCAAAAUAACCAUCUUGUGGGUUAUUUUAGUCUGAAUCAAAUCCUUGCCUGGGUUCACUGCACAACCCUGCAUGCAAUUACGCCAGCACAGCUCAGGGAAAGAUGUGGGACUAGAAACAAACAACAUGACUUUGGGCUGCACAGGGCAGAGCUGCUGCCAAAGGAAACAUUAGUGGAGCUGUACAGAAUAUUUGUUUGGAAACAGUUUUAAAGUGAAGUUUCAGAACACUUGCAGAUGAAACGUGUUUAAUUGGUGGGAUAAAAGGCUGCAGCCAAAGUUAAGUCUGGCUUCUAAUUAUACAGAGUAAACAGAUACAAAAUUAGGCUCUGUGAAGUCUAAAUAGGUAAUUUCACAGUUAAUAUUUAACUACUGGAUAUUUAACAAUAAAAAGCAUUAAAUGGUUUUAAAUCCUCAUGCCUGGCAUGCUGCUCACCAAGCUACAGCCUACAAUCGCUGUUCAGGAGUAAAGGGGUUUCCUGGGCGAUGGUGACCAUGAACUCCAGCAUCUCCUCACCCAGUGUGAACACACACCAAAAAUGGCUUUUGCCUAAAAUGUCCCUUCUCACUUUUUCACAUUAUUUCCAUUGAUGAUGCUGGGGAUGGGAACCUUGGGAAGCAGAGGUUGUUGAGAACCAUACCCUGUAGAAAUCUGUUGUUUAAUGUUCAGCACACAGGAAUAAUGCCUUUUGUUCAAACCAUACGUAAUGUUUUUCAUCUGGCAGCUGUUUUCCCUGUAAAUGAUAAAACAUUAAAACCUGAACUAAAAAUAA